GGAAAUGUGGCCGAAAAUAGGUCUUACCUUGAUAGGGUAAAUUAUAGAGGUUACCCCCCCCUCAUUUCCU
rnacentral:tRNA from 1 species